rnacentral:rRNA from 1 species
AUUGAACGCUGGCGGCAUGCCUUACACAUGCAAGUCGAACGGCAGCACGGGGCAACCUGGUGGCGAGUGGCGAACGGGUGAGUAAUGCAUCGGAACGUACCUUUCAGUGGGGGAUAACAUAGCGAAAGUUACGCUAAUACCGCAUAUUCUGUGAGCAGGAAAGCAGGGGAUCGCAAGACCUUGCGCUGAUUGAGCGGCCGAUGUCAGAUUAGCUAGUUGGUGAGGUAAAGGCUCACCAAGGCGACGAUCUUGGACGGGUCUGAGAGGAUGAUCGGCCACACUGGAACUGAGACACGGUCCAGACUCCUACGGGAGGCAGCAGUGGGGAAUUUUGGACAAUGGGGGCAACCCUGAUCCAGCCAUGCCGCGUGAGUGAAGAAGGCCUUCGGGUUGUAAAGCUCUUUCGGCCGGGAAGAAAUCGCACGGGCUAAUACCCUGUGUGGAUGACGGUACCGGAAUAAGAAGCACCGGCUAACUACGUGCCAGCCGCCGCAGUAAUAC